rnacentral:lncRNA from 1 species
AGAGAAACGAAGGAAUAACAAUGAAAAAAAUAAAUAAACAAAUAAAUAAAUAAAAUUGAAAAUAAAAAUUAGUAAAUAAGGUAAGGAAGGAGAAAUAAGGAAAUACAUAAAGGGAGGGGGGAAUAAAAGAAACGAAGAAAGUAAAAGUAAAUAAAUAAGGUAAACAGUAACAAAGAAAGCAACGAAAGUAAGGAAGCAAGGAUAGCAACGUGAAGCAUACAAGGAAUAGCAACGAGCAAGGAAAACAAAACGCAACGUGAAGUAAGGCAAAACAAAUUACGACGGAAUUUACAACAAAACAAAUCGCAAGGGUGAAGCAGAGCAAACAAAAACAAAUUACAACGCAGCUUACAACAAAUCCGCUGCUCAAAACAAAAACAAAAACAAAUCCACUACUGAAAACAAACUGCUACGCUCCCACAAUCAUCAAAAUACCUCCACACAUCCCUAAUGGAAGCACACAGGACUUACCCAGCAUUGCCUUUUCACAAGCCAGCCGAGCACAGGCAGUCAAGAGGAUGGACCCAGUGGAAUGAGCGAGUUGGUAACAAGGGCGGUGUGAACAGAAGAAACGAGAUGAGUGAAAUGAGGAUGUUUUCUUUUUUUUUACUAAAGCUAGACUAAAACUAGUAGAGUAGAACAUUUUUUUGUUUUCAUUCCUCCUUUUUAUUAAAUUUUUUGUUUUCAUUCCUCACUUUUAUUUUUGGUUUUCAUUCUUCCCUUUUAUUUUUAUUUUUUAGGGUUCAUGUUUCCUUUUUUCCACUCAAGUUUUUAUUUUUAUUUUUUUUCCCUUUUAUUUUAUUUUCUUUUCCUUUCGUCUCGUUUUAUUUCCCUUAAUUCCUACUUGGUGUAACUCAUCGCACAAACACCACGCUACCACUCAUAGUCAUAUUAGGUGCCUUUGGAUUAUUUGCUCGCUGCACCAUUUUUCUUCUCCUUCCUUUUCCCUUUUACCAUGUUGCCCACUCUCGUUAGGUAACGCUCGCAUCCGCUAUUUUUCAAGUCCUUUUCUUAUUAUAUUAUGUCUCUACACUAGAAACAUUUUCAC